AAUACUUACCAAGCUAAGUACCCACACUUGACCGCCUAUUUUGUGUUUACAGCUCACUUGUGGUAUGAAUGCUCCAUGAUGCCAAAUCUAUUUAUCUUACCUCUGUUCCCCUCCUAUGUUCUUCCUUUCUGCAUCCACACAUGCUGCAUUCAUAUUUUCCAUUGGCCAAAGCCAUGCUGUAGCUCAUUAUCUGUCACCUGUCUCACAGCUCUGCUGUUUUCUUCUUUACCUCAGUAACUGAUGCAAACAGAUGCCUUGAGCAGAGAUCAAACUUUAGGGAAAAGAAAGAUAUCACACGGUGCUAGGUCUGUAACAUGCAAUAGUGGAAGGAGAUCUAAGGAUGGACUUGUUCAGGCUGGAAUUUCUAUUCCUGUGCAGCGUAGUUCCAAGAUUGUCACUUACAACAAGACUUCAAGGAAAUGACUGAGUGGGUCAAAGCGUCUCCAUGGCCACGCAGGAGGGAGCCGCGUCGUCACUUCCGGUUCCGCUGAUGCGAGCGGUGACGCCGAACGGGAAACCCAAUUGACGUGGCCAGGGGAGAACGCACGUGUGGGAGCAAGUGAAGGGGGAAAUGCUUGUGUCAACAGGCGAGUCUUGAGUCUCUUUUUGAAGGAUUGUAGAGUGAAGGUCUCAAAAACCGUGUGAGGAAGCGAAUUCCAUAGAGUUGGGGAUGCAGAACCAACAGCGCAACCACCAAAUAAAGUAAUAAGAGAUUCUAUGUACUGGGACUAGUCCUUCAUCUGCAGAUUGAAAGUCACCCCUACAAAUAGAAAACAAACAACUAAUAAAAGAGGAAUGCCCAAUGCCGCCGACCUCCACAGAAGAACCAAAACAUGAGUCACAUCCAACUGUGGCCGCAAAGGGAAUACUCAAUGACUGAUCAUUGUUAGUUCUGAACUGAAGACAAAUGAAUAGUGAAGAAAGCAUGUCACAUUAGAUCAGUGUGGUAUUUGUAUUAAAUCAAUGUGGUUUUCAUAUCAUGGGUUUGGAUCCAAGACAAAAAAAAACCCAACAUCCAAAAAACACAUCUAGAAGUAAAUAAGAGCGUUGAGUCAGCUACCCACUCAUCCUCCACUCAACUGGACAUAAUUAACAUUUUUUUUUUGUAAAUGUAAAGAAUAUACACGAAAAACAAGUGA